GAUGAACGGCUAGCUACAGGCUUAACACAUGCAAGUCGAGGGGCAGCGCAGUGUAGCAAUACAUGGGCGGCGACCGGCGCACGGGUGCGUAACGCGUAUCCCAAACCUUCCCGACUACUCAGGGAUAGCCUUCCGAAAGGGAGAUUAAUACCUGAUGGUGUUUCAAUUCCGCAUGUUAAUGAAACUAAAGAUUUAUCGGUAUCGGAUGGGGAUGCGUGACAUUAGAUAGUAGGCGGGGUAACGGCCCACCUAGUCUACGAUGUCUAGGGGUUCUGAGACGGAAGGUCCCCCCACACUGGAACUGAGACACGGUCCAGACUCCUACGGGAGGCAGC
rnacentral:rRNA from 1 species